CGGCGCGGGCAGGCGGCCGCCGCCGGGAUCAACACCCGUCGGAGGAAAGUCCGAACACGACAGGACACGGUGGUGGGCAACACCCACCCGCUCGCCGGGUCGCGAGCGAGGGACAGUGCCACAGAAAGCAAACCGCCGAUGGCCCUCUUCGGGGGGCACAGGCAAGGGUGAAAGGGUGCGGUAAGAGCGCACCGCCCGGCUGGCGACAGCCGGGGCACGGUAAACCCCACCGCGUGCAAGGUCACGCAGUCCCCGCGCGAUCCGUCGCGGCGCCCGGUCCGGGCGAAAGGGGGCGGGUAGACCGCUGGAGCGCGUCGGCAACGGCGCGUCGAGAGAAAUGGCCGCCCAGCCGGGCCCCGGAGCGAUCCGGACCCGGUGGACAGAAUUCGGCUUACAGCCCGCGUCCGACC
rnacentral:RNase_P_RNA from 1 species